rnacentral:rRNA from 1 species
UACAGAGGUCUCAACCGUUGUUCGGAUUCAUUGGGCGUAAAGGGUGCGUAGGCGGCGCGGUAAGUCGGGUGUGAAAUCUCGGAGCUUAACUCCGAAACUGCAUUCGAUACUGCCGUGCUUGAGGACUGGAGAGGAGACUGGAAUUUACGGUGUAGCGGUGAAAUGCGUAGAUAUCAGGAGGAACACCGGUGGCGAAGGCGGCAUCCUGGACCGGCAUUGACGCUGAGGAGCGAAAGCCAGGGGAGCAAACGGG